UUCCCAAAGUCUGGGAGCUGUAUAGUGUUGGUGGAGCACACCAGACCUGCAGAAAGAGCGCCUUCCUUAGGAAACAGGGACAACUGUCCAAAUCCCAACAAUUCAUGUGCAAUUUUUCUCCCACUGCUUUUGGGCACUGGUGGCACGACUGGGCGGUGUAUCAUAGUGUCAUUAUCUAUCAGUAACGGUAAGAGAAGCUGUGCAGUCAGCAUACUGUUCAAUAGAUGGAGUGGUUUCUACUGGACAAUAAGUAAAGCUACAAAA